rnacentral:tRNA from 1 species
GCCAAGGUAGCUCAGCCGGCAGAGCAGCGCACUUGUAAUGCGCAGGUCCCGGGUUCGAUUCCCGGCCGUGGCU